UACAGAGGGGGCGAGCGUUGUUCGGAAUUACUGGGCGUAAAGGGCGCGUAGGCGGCCCGCUAAGUCGAACGUGAAAUCCCCAGGCUCAACCUGGGAACUGCGUCCGAUACUGGCAGGCUUGAAUCCGGGAGAGGGAUGUGGAAUUCCAGGUGUAGCGGUGAAAUGCGUAGAGAUCAGGAAGAACAUCGGUGGCGAAGGCGCUCUGCUGGACCAUAACUGACACUCAGGGACGAAAGCUAGGGGAGCGAAUGGG
rnacentral:rRNA from 1 species